ACGGGGGAUGCAAGCGUUAUCCGGAUUUAUUGGGUUUAAAGGGUGCGUAGGCGGUUUGAUAAGUCAGCGGUGAAAUAUUUCAGCUUAACUGAAAGGGUGCCGUUGAUACUGUCAGGCUUGAAUAUGGUUGCUGUGGGUGGAAUGUGUGGUGUAGAGGUGAAAUGCUUAGAUAUCAGGAGGAAUACCGGUUGCGAAGGCAACUUACAAGGCCAUUAUUGACGCUGAUGCGCGAAGGUGUGGGGAUCAAACAG
rnacentral:rRNA from 1 species